GACGAACGCUGGCGGCGUGCUUAACACAUGCAAGUCGAACGAAGUGGCGAACGGGUGAGUAACGCGUAAUCAACCUGCCCUUCCGAGGGGGACAACAGUUGGAAACGACUGCUAAUACCGCAUACUGAGGCUGGGGCUUGCGUCGGAUUAGCUUGUGGGAGGGGUAACGGCCCACCGAGGCGAUGAUCAGUAGCCGGUCUGCGAGGAUGAGCGGCGACAUUGGGACGGAGACACGGCCCAGACUCCGACGGGAGGCAGCAGUGGGGAAUCUGCCACAAUGGACGAAAGUCUGACGGAGCAACGCCGCGGGAGGGAUGAAGGCCUUCGGGUGGUAAAGCUCUGGUGAUCGGGACGCGGUACCGGAAAAGAAAGCCACGGCUAACUCGGUGCCAGCAGCCGCGUAAUUC
rnacentral:rRNA from 1 species